CCUGGGUGUGUUGGCACACGCCUGUAAUCCCAGUAAUUUGGGAGGUUGAGGCAGGACAAUUGCCAUUUUUCAAGACCAGCCUCAGCAAUUUUAGGAAGACCCUGUCUCAAU
rnacentral:sRNA from 1 species